rnacentral:rRNA from 1 species
UGGUGCCAGCAGCCGCGGUAAUUCCAGCUCCAAUAGCGUAUAUUAAAGUUGUUGCAGUUAAAAAGCUCGUAGUUGAAUUUCGGGAUCAAUAUUUCGGUCAUGCCGUUGGUAUGCACUGUUAUCAUUGAUUUCUCACCUUCUAAAGAACCGUAACGCCAUUAAUUUGGUGUUACGGGGAAUUAGGACUGUUACCUUGAAAAAAUUAGAGUGUUUAAAGCAGGCUCACGCUUGAAUACAUUAGCAUGGAAUAAUGAAAUAGGACAUCCGAUUCUAUUUUGUUGGUUUCUAGGAUCGAUGUAAUGAUUAAUAGGGAUAGUUGGGGGCAUUAGUAUUCAAUUGUCAGAGGUGAAAUUCUUGGAUUUAUUGAAGACUAACUACUGCGAAAGCAUUUGCCAAGGAUGUUUUCAUUAAUCAAGAACGAAAGUUAGGGGAUCGAAGACGAUCAGAUACCGUCGUAGUCUUAACCAUAAACUAUGCCGACUAGGGA